GUUUGAUACCUACUCCAUUUUCUUUUGUUUUGCGUUGUUUCGUGGUUUUCUUCUUGCAUAUUAAUUAUUUGCUUUCUUUGAUGGUUUGGGGUUUGUUCUUCGCAAACAAUAACCGUGAGGUUUCUUCAGUUUGUUUGUAUCUAAAACCGCUUCAUGGAUUUGACUUUUGAGGUCUUGUCGGAACCACAGACACAAUAGAAAUGUCUGGGACCAAUAGUGCCGCUUGGGGCUCACUGGGUUAAAGGUAAAAUACAUAUGGGUAAUGAUAUUAGGUAGUGUGUGAAACAAUUAUUAUUUUUGUUUAGGCAUAAAUUUAGGCCAUAUUUGACACAGCUUAUGGUGGUGUAUCCUGUGCAACUUGGAUACUUACAACGGUCAACGAAGCGACACACCAACAUCAGGCCAGUUGGAGUUAUUGAUUGUGAACUAUUCUUCUUAGCUUGCUUCUCCUGCUCCAGGCUGGAAGAGCUAGGCCGACCUCUUUUAUUUUCACUUGUGCCUUAGUUACAUAAAACGUAGGCCAGUUCAUUUCUAAAUUGAACAUUUUGUUCUUUGCAACAUUUUCCUUUAUUGCAUUGUUUUUUAUAAUCCAUAUAAUCCAAGAGUUGAUAACGGCCAGAUCAAGCCAAUGGAAAAAAUAUUUUUUUACAAAUGUGUAUAAAAUAAUUUAUUUCAC